UUUGCAUUUCUUCCGAGGUUUUCUUAUAUGGUCAUAAACAAGAAGAUGCACAUUUCAGAGGGACAACAUCUGAGAACAAACACACCAGACUAGAGUACAAUAUUCGAGGAAGGUGGGAAGACCGACUAUUCCGACUUCGCAGUCUGAAAAUUGCACUCGAACGCUUCACCGCCCGACUUCACUGUGACGUCACUUGACAGUGGCGACCCCCAAUUAAACACAAUAACUGGCCUGUUUUCCUGCUGCUUCUCCUUGGUCAUCCUCCAAAUCGGACCGCCAUCGUGAGAUUUGCUGAAGACAUUUUCUCACAGGGACUUGAAAAAUGUCGCCGAGGCCCACAUGACUGUGAGUUGAGCUGCCCGCUUACGCCCAUGCGUUAAAAAUCGAGUCGGAAAAGGAGGUGGGUGCUCCAGACAGAUGUUGAAGUGUUUCGUCUGCUCAGGCUUCACGCGGCGCAGAGCCACCCGCGACUCCCCGAUGAACUCGUUGUGCGUCAGCUUGUCCUCGUCGCACACGGACACUCUGGAUGGUGGAAGAAAGAGGAAAAUGGAAAUUGAGAAUGGAGGAGGAGGAGGAGGAGCGCAUCAAUAAAAGCUUGCUACUUUUUUCAACCUGUUGCGGCUGAAAACUCCAUCUGUCCACCUCGAUGGAGGUGUCGAUGCUGCUCAUGGCGGACAGCGAGCCCCCCGCGCCGCCACCGCCACCUCCCGCCGCUAACAAGGGCGACAACAGGCCGCCGCCGCCGCCCACUGCGCCUUGACUCGUGCCGCCAGGGCUAAGGGCUGCGCUGGC